rnacentral:rRNA from 1 species
ACGGGGUGCAGCAGGCGCGAAAACUUUACAAUGCGAGAAAUCGCGAUAAGGGAAAUCCGAGUGUCAGCACAUGUGUUGACUGUCCAGAAGUCUAAAACACUUCUGAUAGCAAGUACCGGGCAAGACCGGUACCAGCCGCCGCGGUAAUACCGGCGGUACGAGUGGUAAUCACUAUUAUUGGGUUUAAAGAGUCCGUAGCCGGUUUAUUAAAUCCCAUGGGAAAUCUGAUGGCUUAACCAUUAGGCUUUUAUGGGAGACUGGUAAACUUGGGACCGGGGGAGGAUGGAGGUACUUCAGGGGUAGGAGUGAAAUCUUGUAAUCCUUGGAGGACCAUCGGUGGCGAAGGCGUCCAUCUAUAACGGAUCCGACGGUGAGGGACGAAAGCUAGGGUCACGAACCGGAUUAGAUACCCGGGUAGUCCUAGCCGUAAACGAUGCAGACUAAGUGUCAGAUACAGUGCGACUGUAUCUGGUGCCGUAGGGAAACCGUAAAGUCUGCCACCUGGAAGUACGACCGCAAGG